GUUAUGGCUUGCCUAUGAGGGUUUGUUGAUUUAUAAGAACCUGGGAUAAAACUUCCUAUAAAAAGAGUUGAAGUCUCCAUGCAAUAAUCACAGCCAGAGUCAUUAUUGUGUGGGUUUAAAUGCUUUCCUUGGUUUGAUAGUUAAAGCUGUGAGGUUCCUUUUGUUCAGCUGCUCUGCAGUACAAAAUGAGGGAGAUGCCCAGGUUCACUUUUCCAGUCUGUGCAAUCUCCAUGAGCCGUCUUGGACUACAGGUUUCCAAUCUGAAAAACUCAGGACUGGGGCAUGAAAGGGCAAUGCUGGUGUUAAGCUGUGAGACUUGUUAGGCUCCUAACAAGACAGCUGCUUCCGGGGGAAGGGUAGUGGUGCCUGACCUGAGCAGGGAGUUGCCUGUAGGCAGUCUGUUGGCACCUCUGUUUUAAGGAGCAGGACUUGUGUAUGUUUUGUAAAUAAGCAAAUUACAGUAAGAAAAUACCUAACCCUGUGUCACUGACUUCUGCUCCAAACAGGAAACUGGCUUGCAAGGCCCCAAAUUCUGCUACUCCUUGGCAAAGAGGCAACUGUAUUAUUUAUUUCAUUUAGAUUGUAAGCUUCAGGACAGGGACUGUCAUUAAAUAGAUGUUUGUACACAAAGUACACCCUACACAAUGUUUGUGCACCCUACACAAUGGGUCCCAGUACUGAUUGGGGCCUCAAGACUCUACUGCAAUAAUAAUAGGAACUGGAGAUAUUUGUUGCAAAGGGCUAGACAGCUGUGGCCCUGUAACAGACAAAAUUUGCAUUUGACCAACUUUUGAAAUGCUGGUUGGUUUGUGUGUCUGAUGGCAAAUUACAGUGCAUUAUCCCAGAGGUGAUAGGAAUAUUCUUUGAGGAAUUUAAAACUCAUGUUAAAUGUCUUGGAUGCUGACGUUUCCUGAUGAAACUAGACCUUCUGAAGUUUAGGUCUGUUUAAGCCUGUGCAAGGAGCAGUUUAAAUGAGAGCUCACUCACUCAUCUCUGCUUCUAGUCAAGCUUUUGCAACUUGGCUGAGAGGUGCAGGAAGAAGAAGUAGGAGGAGGGGUGGUAAAAAGGAGAAGAGUUAAACAAAAUUACAACCCUAACAGGAUAUGAACAAACAGCCUUGGAACUAUGGUGCAGACAUUCAUCCAGCAGGCAACAGUCUUUUGUUGGCAUCCUUGGAGUUUAAUGAGAUAUGCAGAAGACUGAAUCCCCAGGAGGCCUUCCUAACUUGGAGAACAAAGACAAUUCUUUGGGAAUAUAAGGGACAGAGAGACUCCAUCUUUCACUUAAGAAGAGUAGAGAAACCAGCACCUCCAUAGUUCCGUGGAAGGUCCUGACCGAGAGAAUGUCUGCCCUGCUGGACAAAGACUAUCGAAAAGAAGUCAUGGAAGAGAAGAGAUGUGUAUAAUGGCAACUAGGUCACCCGACUUGCUUCCAUCAAAGAGGGAAUUCACAGCACUGCAGAGACAAGUACAUGGCCCUCCUGGCACUGAUGUGAGUGCUUGUGCUAUCAUCUGGAGAAACACUUUCUUCAUUGGCUUAGCAAAUCCUGCAUUUGGCGUUAAGUACUCUAUUAAAAAAUAUAA